CUGAAGAGUUUGAUCCUGGCUCAGAUUGAACGCUGGCGGUAUGCUUUACACAUGCAAGUCGAACGGCAGCAUAGGUGCUUGCACCUGAUGGCGAGUGGCGAACGGGUGAGUAAUGCAUCGGAACGUGCCCAGUCGUGGGGGAUAACGCAGCGAAAGCUGUGCUAAUACCGCAUACGAUCUAUGGAUGAAAGCGGG
rnacentral:rRNA from 1 species